rnacentral:rRNA from 1 species
AGUCGAACGGUAACAGGAAGCAGCUUGCUGCUUCGCUGACGAGUGGCGGACGGGUGAGUAAUGUCUGGGAAACUGCCUGAUGGAGGGGGAUAACUACUGGAAACGGUAGCUAAUACCGCAUAACGUCGCAAGACCAAAGAGGGGGACCUUCGGGCCUCUUGCCAUCAGAUGUGCCCAGAUGGGAUUAGCUUGUUGGUGGGGUAACGGCUCACCAAGGCGACGAUCCCUAGCUGGUCUGAGAGGAUGACCAGCCACACUGGAACUGAGACACGGUCCAGACUCCUACGGGAGGCAGCAGUGGGGAAUAUUGCACAAUGGGCGCAAGCCUGAUGCAGCCAUGCCGCGUGUAUGAAGAAGGCCUUCGGGUUGUAAAGUACUUUCAGCGGGGAGGAAGGUGUUGUGGUUAAUAACCGCAGCAAUUGACGUUACCCGCAGAAGAAGCACCGGCUAACUCCGUGCCAGCAGCCGCGGUAAUACGGAGGGUGCAAGCGUUAAUCGGAAUUACUGGGCGUAAAGCGCACGCAGGCGGUCUGUUAAGUCAGAUGUGAAAUCCCCGGGCUCAACCUGGGAACUGCAUCUGAUACUGGCAGGCUUGAGUCUCGUAGAGGGGGGUAGAAUUCCAGGUGUAGCGGUGAAAUGCGUAGAGAUCUGGAGGAAUACCGGUGGCGAAGGCGGCCCCCUGGACGAAGACUGACGCUCAGGUGCGAAAGCGUGGGGGAGCAAACAGGAUUAGAUACCCUGGUAGUCCACGCCGUAAACGAUGUCGACUUGGAGGUUGUGCCCUUGAGGCGUGGCUUCCGGAGCUAACGCGUUAAGUCGACCGCCUGGGGAGUACGGCCGCAAGGUUAAAACUCAAAUGAAUUGACGGGGGCCCGCACAAGCGGUGGAGCAUGUGGUUUAAUUCGAUGCAACGCGAAGAACCUUACCUGGUCUUGACAUCCACGGAAGGUCUCAGAGAUGAGACUGUGCCUUCGGGAGCCGUGAGACAGGUGCUGCAUGGCUGUCGUCAGCUCGUGUUGUGAAAUGUUGGGUUAAGUCCCGCAACGAGCGCAACCCUUAUCCUUUGUUGCCAGCGGUUAGGCCGGGAACUCAAAGGAGACUGCCAGUGAUAAACUGGAGGAAGGUGGGGAUGACGUCAAGUCAUCAUGGCCCUUACGACCAGGGCUACACACGUGCUACAAUGGCAUAUACAAAGAGAAGCGACCUCGCGAGAGCAAGCGGACCUCAUAAAGUAUGUCGUAGUCCGGAUUGGAGUCUGCAACUCGACUCCAUGAAGUCGGAAUCGCUAGUAAUCGUGGAUCAGAAUGCCACGGUGAAUACGUUCCCGGGCCUUGUACACACCGCCCGUCACACCAUGGGAGUGGGUUGCAAAAGAAGUAGGUAGCUUAACCUUCGGGAGGGCGC